CAGAAACGGAAAAAAGUAAUAUGCCAACAAGGCUCCACUGGUAAGAGAAUGGUUGAUGAUACCCAACUUUCUCAACAAUCAAGCAAGAUUUAGCUAAAUUAUACCAAACAAGUAACAAACAAUGGCCCAAUACAAUAUUUCUGAGCAACUAUAUGAAGAAAAUACGUAAAUGCCAGCCCAUUUGCUCCAAGUUGGACAAAUGAUUUGCAUAAUAGAGGAACC
rnacentral:misc_RNA from 1 species